rfam:Anaerofustis stercorihominis DSM 17244 Scfld_02_2 genomic scaffold, whole genome shotgun sequence.
AUAAUGAUACUUACGCAUAGCAGGGUCACACCACGGUGCGUCCCGGAUAAUGUCGGGGAGGUGGAAUUCCUAUGA